rnacentral:rRNA from 1 species
AGGGGUAUGGUAGCAAUACCAGAGACCGGCGCACGGGUGCGUAACGCGUAUGCAAUCUACCUUUUACAGAGGGAUAGCCCAGAGAAAUUUGGAUUAAUACCUCAUAGUAUUACGACCCGGCAUCGGGAUGUAAUUAAAGUCACAACGGUAAAAGAUGAGCAUGCGUCCCAUUAGCUAGAUGGUAAGGUAACGGCUUACCAUGGCAACGAUGGGUAGGGGUCCUGAGAGGGAGAUCCCCCACACUGGUACUGAGACACGGACCAGACUCCUACGGGAGGCAGCAGUGAGGAAUAUUGGACAAUGGGCGCAAGCCUGAUCCAGCCAUGCCGCGUGCAGGAUGACGGUCCUAUGGAUUGUAAACUGCUUUUGCACAGGAAGAAACAACGCUACGUGUAGCGUCUUGACGGUACUGUGAGAAUAAGGAUCGGCUAACUCCGUGCCAGCAGCCGCGGUAAUACGGAGGAUCCAAGCGUUAUCCGGAAUCAUUGGGUUUAAAGGGUCCGUAGGCGGUUUGGUAAGUCAGUGGUGAAAGCCCAUCGCUCAACGGUGGAACGGCCAUUGAUACUGCCAGACUUGAAUUAUUAGGAAGUAACUAGAAUAUGUAGUGUAGCGGUGAAAUGCUUAGAGAUUACAUG